GGAAGUAAAAAGUCGUAACAAGGUUUCCGUAGGUGAACCUGCGGAAGGAUCAUUACAGUAGUCGCCUGGGUUGCCGCAAGGCCUCCCGGGUAACCUACCACCCUCUGUUUAUUACACUUUGUUGCUUUGGCAGGCCUGCCCUCGGGCUGCUGGCUCCGGCCGGCGAGCGCUUGCCAGAGGACCUAAACUCUGUUUGUCUAUACUGUCUGAGUACUAUAUAAUAGUUAAAACUUUCAACAACGGAUCUCUUGGUUCUG
rnacentral:misc_RNA from 1 species